rnacentral:rRNA from 1 species
GACGAACGCUGGCGGCGUGCCUAAUACAUGCAAGUAGAACGCAGUUGCGAACGGGUGAGUAACGCGUAGGUAACUGCCUCAUAGCGGGGGAUAACUAUUGGAAACGAUAGCUAAUACCGCAUACUGUGAGAUGGACCUGCGUUGUAUUAGCUAGUUGGUGAGGUAAAGGCUCACCAAGGCGACGAUACAUAGCCGACCUGAGAGGGGGGUCGGCCAAACUGGGACUGAGAAACGGCCCAGACUCCAACGGGAGGAAGAGGUAGGGAACCUUCGGCAAGGAACGAAAGUCUGACGUAGAAACGCUGCGUGAGUGAAGAAGGUUUUCGGACCAUAAAACUCGGUUGUGAGAGAAGCGGUAUCUAACCAGAAAGGGACGGCUAACUACGUGCCAGCAGCCGCGGUAAUAC